CACAUAUUAAAUUUUUAAUUUGUUCUUUAUUUUAACAGAGAUUUAGAAGGCAUGUGAGAAGAUACCCGAGAGAGUAUUUUAAUUCUCAGCUAUCUCAAGAAGAUAGACCUUAUCAACCUGAUCCAUCAAUUUAUUAUCCUGAAUAUCCAUAUCCAUAUCCAGUGCAAUAGCGUUAGAAUGCUGUUCAGUACCACAGGACGGGAUUACAGAGGCUUGGCGGGAGAUUCGAUUUGCUCUGUGCUCAUGAUGAUUCUUCCUACUCCACAACCCUUUACCCAUCUGGCAACGUUAUGUUAGCCCUCAACUAACAAAUACAGCCAAAGUUUUUUUAAAGCAUCCUUUUGAAUAAUUCAAAA